rnacentral:rRNA from 2 species
UACAGAGGGUGCGAGCGUUAAUCGGAAUUACUGGGCGUAAAGCGCACGUAGAUGGCUUUGUAAGUCAGAUGUGAAAUCCCCGGGCUCAACCUGGGAACUGCAUUUGAAACUGCAUUGCUCGAAUGUGGAAGAGGGAAGCGGAAUUCCAGGUGUAGCGGUGAAAUGCGUAGAUAUCUGGAGGAACAUCAGUGGCGAAGGCGGCUUCCUGGUCCAACAUUGACAUUCAGGUGCGAAAGCGUGGGGAGCAAACAGG